AAUAAAGGUUCAGCAGGCAGAUCCAUUUUCUGCCACCGAAUACAUUAGCAUGGGAUAAUGGAAUAGGACCCUGUCCUCCUAUUUUCAGUUGGUUUUGGCAGCGCGAGGACUAGGGUAAUGAUUAAUAGGGAUAGUUGGGGGCAUUAAUAUUUAAUUGUCAGAGGUGAAAUUCUUGGAUUUAUGAAAGAUUAACUUCUGCGAAAGCAUCUGCCAAGGAUGUUUUCAUUAAUCAAGAACGAAAGUUAGGGGAUCGAAGACGAUCAGAUACCGUCGUAGUCUUAACCAUAAACGAUGCCGACCAGCGAUUAGGAGACGUUGAAUACAAAACACCACCAUCGGCGCGGUCGUCCUUGGCGUGUCUCGGCUUCACGGCCGGGGCGCGCGAGGGCGGUUUAGCCCGGUGGCACCGGUGAAUGACUC
rnacentral:rRNA from 1 species